rnacentral:tRNA from 1 species
GUAGGUAUAGUUUAAACAAAACAUUAGAUUGUGAUUCUAAAAACAGAAGUUAAAACCCUCUUACCCACC